rfam:Candidatus Rokubacteria bacterium RIFCSPLOWO2_02_FTLL_72_37 rifcsplowo2_02_scaffold_69013, whole genome shotgun sequence.
AGGGAAGCCGGUGAGGCCGCGUGGCGGCCGAGACCGGCACGGUCCCGCCACUGUGAGUGGGGAGGGGGCUCCCAUGCGACGGCCACUGUCCGCCGAGCGCGGAUGGGAAGGCCGGGAGCCCGCGACGAUCCACGAGUCAGGAAACCU